UGGCGUGCAUGUGCGUAGCGG
rnacentral:misc_RNA from 1 species